rnacentral:rRNA from 1 species
AGAGUUUGAUCAUGGCUCAGAGUGAACGCUGGCGGCAGGCCUAACACAUGCAAGUCGAGCGGCAGCGCGUCCGACCACCCUCGGGUGGUCGGAUGGCGGCGAGCGGCGGACGGGUGAGGAAUGCAUCGGAAUCUGCCUCGUUGUGGGGGAUAACGUAGGGAAACUUACGCUAAUACCGCAUACGACCUACGGGUGAAAGUGGGGGACCUUCGGGCCUCACGCGAUGAGAUGAGCCGAUGCCGGAUUAGCUAGUUGGCGGGGUAAAGGCCCACCAAGGCGACGAUCCGUAGCUGGUCUGAGAGGAUGAUCAGCCACACUGGAACUGAGACACGGUCCAGACUCCUACGGGAGGCAGCAGUGGGGAAUAUUGGACAAUGGGGGCAACCCUGAUCCAGCCAUGCCGCGUGUGUGAAGAAGGCCUUCGGGUUGUAAAGCACUUUUGUUGGGGAAGAAACCGGCCGGGUUAAUACCCUGGUUGAAUGACGGUACCCAAAGAAUAAGCACCGGCUAACUUCGUGCCAGCAGCCGCGGUAAUACGAAGGGUGCAAGCGUUACUCGGAAUUACUGGGCGUAAAGCGUGCGUAGGCGGUUUGUUAAGUCUGCUGUGAAAGCCCUGGGCUCAACCUGGGAACUGCAGUGGAUACUGGCGAGCUAGAGUGUGUCAGAGGAUGGUGGAAUUCCCGGUGUAGCGGUGAAAUGCGUAGAGAUCGGGAGGAACACCAGUGGCGAAAGCGGCCAUCUGGGACAACACUGACGCUGAGG